rnacentral:pre_miRNA from 1 species
CAGGGAGGCCAACUGUCCCUGUUUGCCUGGGACUGAGGGGUUUCUCAGCCGGGAAAGUCCCAGACAAACUGAGACAAGUUGGUUACCCUGGCUUGAA